rnacentral:rRNA from 1 species
AGAGUUUGAUCCUGGCUCAGGACUAACGCUGGCGGCGUGUCUUAGCCAUGCAAGUCGAACGAGAAUCAUUCUUGACGCAAGGAUAGUAUGAUUUUAGUGGCGAAUGGGUGAGUAACACGUGAGUAAGCUACCCUGUGGAGGGGGAUAAUCCAGGGAAACCUGGCCUAAUACCCCAUAUUGAAUUUUAUUGGCAUCAAUGAAUUUUGAAAGAUGGCCUCUUCUUGAAAGCUAUCACCACAGGAGGUGCUCGCGGACCAUUAGCUUGUUGGUGAGGUAAAGGCUCACCAAGGCUAUGAUGGUUAGCCGAUCUGAGAGGAUGAACGGUCACACUGGCACUGAGACACGGGCCAGACUCCUACGGGAGGCAGCAGGCUAGAAAAUUGCGCAAUGGGCGAAAGCCUGACGCAGCGACGCCGCGUGAAGGAUUAAGGCUUUUACGAGUUGUAAACUUCUUUUAUAAAGGAUGAUGGUAGUUGUGGCUAAUAUCUGCAAUUAUUGACGGUACUUUUUGAAUAAGCUCCGGCUAAAUCCGUGCCAGCAGCCGCGGUAAUACGGAUGGAGCAAGCGUUGUCCGGAAUCACUGGGCGUAAAGGGGGUGUAGGUGGUAUUGUAAGUUACGGGUGAAAAUCACAGGCUCAACUUGUGACCUGCCCGUAAUACUGCAGUACUAGAGGACGGGAGAGGAGAGCGGAACUACCGGUGUAGCGGUGGAAUGCACAGAUAUCGGUAGGAACACCAGAGGCGAAGGCGGCUCUCUAGAACGUUCCUGACACUGAGGCCCGAAAGCUGGGGGAGCAAACAGGAUUAGAGACCCUGGUAGUCCCAGCCCUAAACGAUGAGCACUAGGCGUGGGUCCAUUAAAGGAUCCGUGUCGCAGCUAACGCAUUAAGUGCUCCGCCUGGGGAGUACGCUCGCAAGGGUGAAACUCAAAGGAAUUGACGGGACCCCGCACAAGCGGUGGAGGAUGUGGCUUAAUUCGAUGCAACGCGAAGAACCUUACCUGGACUUGACAUAUAUGUAGUACUGAUCUGAAAAGUGAUGGACCCCUUCGGGGGAGCAUAUACAGGUGCUGCAUGGCUGUCGUCAGCUCGUGCCGUGAGGUGUUGGGUUAAGUCUCGCAACGAGCGCAACCCCUACCUCCAGUUGCCAUCAGAUCUUCGGAUGCUGGGCACUCUGGCGGGACUGCCUGCGUAAGCAGGAGGAAGGUGGGGAUGAUGUCAAGUCAUCAUGGCCCUUAUGUCCAGGGCUGCACACGUCCUACAAUGCUCGGUACAAAGGGUCGCAACACUGCGAAGUGAAGCCAAUCCCAAAAAACCGGGCUAAGUUCGGAUUGCAGUCUGCAACUCGACUGCAUGAAGCUGGAAUCGCUAGUAAUCGCGCAUCAGAAUGGCGCGGUGAAUACGUUCCCGGGGUUUGUACACACCGCCCGUCACGCCAUGGAAGUUGGUAGUACCUAAAGUUGCUGACCCAACCUUCGGGAGGGAAGUACCUAAGGUAAGCCUAAUGACUGGGGCGAAGUCGUAACAAGGUA